rnacentral:rRNA from 1 species
AUUGAACGCUGGCGGAAUGCUUUACACAUGCAAGUCGGGCGGCAGCGCGGGGGCAACCCUGGCGGCGAGCGGCGAACGGGUGAGUAACACAUCGGAACGUACCCUGUCGUGGGGGAUAACGAAUCGAAAGAUUCGCUAAUACCGCAUACGACCUGAGGGUGAAAGCGGGGGAUCGCAAGACCUCGCGCGAGAGGAGCGGCCGAUGGCGGAUUAGCUAGUUGGUGGGGUAAAGGCCCACCAAGGCGACGAUCCGUAGCGGGUCUGAGAGGACGGCCCGCCACACUGGGACUGAGACACGGCCCAGACUCCUACGGGAGGCAGCAGUGGGGAAUUUUGGACAAUGGGGGCAACCCUGAUCCAGCCAUUCCGCGUGAGUGAAGAAGGCCUCGGUUGUAAG